UGCGGAGGGAUCAUUACCGAGUUUACAACUCCCAAACCCAAUGUGAACGUUACCAAACUGUUGCCUCGGCGGGAUCUCUGCCCCGGGUGCGUCGCAGCCCCGGACCAAGGCGCCCGCCGGAGGACCAACCAAAACUCUUUUUGUAUACCCCCUCGCGGGUUUUUUAUAAUCUGAGCCUUCUCGGCGCCUCUCGUAGGCGUUUCGAAAAUGAAUCAAAACUUUCAACAACGGAUCUCUUGGUUCUGGCAUCGAUGAAGAACGCAGCGAAAUGCGAUAAGUAAUGUGAAUUGCAGAAUUCAGUGAAUCAUCGAAUCUUUGAACGCACAUUGCGCCCGCCAGUAUUCUGGCGGGCAUGCCUGUCCGAGCGUCAUUUCAACCCUCGAACCCCUCCGGGGGGUCGGCGUUGGGGAUCGGCCCUGCCUCUUGGCGGUGGCCGUCUCCGAAAUACAGUGGCGGUCUCGCCGCAGCCUCUCCUGCGCAGUAGUUUGCACACUCGCAUCGGGAGCGCGGCGCGUCCACAGCCGUUAAACACCCAACUUCUGAAAUGUUGACCUCGGAUCAGGUAGGAAUACCCGCUGAACUUAAGCAUAUC
rnacentral:rRNA from 1 species